AAAUUUGCAUUUUUGCCCCGAUUAGCGCAUAAUGAAUUGUCGCUUGCGACUAUAGUGAUAAACGUCGUGAUUAAUAGGCGACGCGGACUCGGGGGCAGAGCCCGACAUCUCCACCAAUAUUGAUCUAUGGGGAUGAAUAGAUUCGACGCGCGUUGAAAAGCAUGAUUUUCACUCGGGAUGGUUUACGUUAUAAGACCGAAAACUAUAAAUGCGAAUGAUAAUAAUAAUCGCAUGCAACUUAAAAUAAUAAAGGGCAACAAAAAGUUGUCGUUUAACAAUGAGCGGCUUGCUGCUUAAUUAAGUAGACGCGGUUUGGGGAAGCCGGGCAACAGAAAUUCCCCGCC
rnacentral:tmRNA from 1 species